ACUCCUACGGGAGGCAGCAGUGGGGAAUAUUGCACAAUGGGGGAAACCCUGAUGCAGCCAUGCCGCGUGUGUGAAGAAGGCCUUCGGGUUGUAAAGCACUUUCAGUAGGGAGGAAGGUAGUGUAGUUAACACCUGCACUUAUUUGACGUUACCUACAGAAGAAGCACCGGCUAACUCCGUGCCAGCAGCCGCGGUAAUACGGAGGGUGCGAGCGUUAAUCGGAAUUACUGGGCGUAAAGCGCAUGCAGGCGGCCUGUUAAGUCAGAUGUGAAAGCCCGGGGCUUAACCUCGGAAUUGCAUUUGAAACUGGCAGGCUAGAGUCUUGUAGAGGGGGGUAGAAUUUCAGGUGUAGCGGUGAAAUGCGUAGAGAUCUGAAGGAAUACCAGUGGCGAAGGCGGCCCCCUGGACAAAGACUGACGCUCAGAUGCGAAAGCGUGGGGAGCAAACAGGAUUAGAUACCCUGGUAGCACAGAG
rnacentral:rRNA from 1 species